rnacentral:rRNA from 1 species
GAUGAACGCUGGCGGCGUGCCUAAUACAUGCAAGUCGAGCGAACAGAUGAUGAGCUUGCUCCUCUUACGUUAUCGUCGGACGUUUGAGUAACACGUGGAUAACCUACCUAUAUGUCUUGGAUAACUUCGGGAAACCGGUGCUAAUCCCGUAUAAUAUAUUUAUCCGCAUGGUUCAUUAGUGAUAUACGGUUUUUCUGUCUCUUAUAGAUUUUUCCGCGCCGCAUUAGCUAGUUGGUAAGGUAACGGCUUACCAAGGCAACGAUGCGUAGCCGACGUGAGAGGGUGAUCGGCAACACGGGAACUGAGACACGGACCAGAAGACUACGGGAGGCAGCAGUAGGGAAUGGUAGGCAAUGGGCGAAAGCAUGACGGAGCAAAGCCGCGUGAGUGAAGAAGGUAUUCGGAUCGUAAAACUCUGUUAUUAGGGAAGAACAAAUGUGUAAGAAAAUAUGCACGUAUUGACGGUAACUAAUCAGAAAGCAACGGCUAACUACGUG